GGGCCGGAUCCACUCCGCUCGUCCCCCAUUACCUUCCCCCGGAGCCGCGGCUGCCGCGUCGCCUUGCAGCCGAGCAGCCACAACACCCAGCAGCGCCGGUGCCCCCACCUCCCAUCUUGGCCGCAUCAAGCACCGUCGAUGCAGUCACGCGCGCCCCCCAGCCACCUCCAAUUUCUGCGUGAGCACUGCCGCCAAACCACCAGUAGCCGCACCAUCUUCCUCGCCGUGCCGCCUCUUCUAGCAUUGGAUCCGGUGAGAUCCGUGUCAUCCAGAGCUUCAGUCACCGGAUCUGGCCCGCCCCACCUCGCAGCGCCGCCCCACCAUGGCCGGGGUUGCUGCACCACCCCAUGAUGGACGGCCUCCACGUCCCCGCGAUGGACACGGCCGUAGCUCCAUCCCGUGCUGCCCCGACCGCGGCCCCAGCUCCACCCCGUAUGGCUUCCACGGCCCCGCCCCGACUGCGGCCCCAGCUUCGCCCCGGAUAGCCUCCACAGCCCCGCCCUGCUUGCAGCUUGAAGUCGGUGAGGAGCUUGGUCUGCAGCUCGGUUGCUUGUCUAUUUGCAGUACACGCUGCUGGCAAUGCAAUCCGAUGAUUAUUUGACCGUUCCCGAGUAUUCGUUGUUCGAUUUGGGCUGGACGGAGAACCACCGCAUCUCCCUCCCCUAGAGCCUUUUUCCUUUGCUCCCCACUGACAGACAGACAACCACGCAAGGAGAGGAAAAGAACAUCGACGAGAGCCCAAAGACGCUAUGAUGGAAUUCAGUCCACCUCGUCGGAGAAGGAUGGCAGAGUGAUGCCUUGCAAUAUAGUGGAGCACUCCUUGCCAUGCGAGUGUGCAGUGUGGAAGGCAAUGUCGUGCGGUUCUCCGUGUGAAUCCCUUCCAGGGUUGUUGCUAUUCAAAAACAUUUUCUUGUGUUUUUUGGAAAAUUUAAUGAGUCUUUAUCAAUGCAGUGCGGUUUAGAAGCUUCCGUCCAGUAUAUUUUUCAAAUGGAUAUUUUGCAUGUAUUCGAGACAUGGAGAAAAGAGCAAAUGCGGUCC